GUGGCAGGAAGAAUGGCAAGGUUCUGAAAAAAAUGUUGAUCCAGAAAUAUUGCUGUAGCCACACCAGCUGAAUCUGUCACCGGGCCUUAGGGUACUCAUGGAACAAUCCUGUGCUCGCUCUGUUUCUGCUUCUCUCCUUCCCUUUCCUAUAUACCCUUUGUAGCUGUUGCAGUUUCUAGAAUAAAAAGAGAAGCAGAGGACUUAACAAGAAGCCUGGGCUCUGCUUAAGGGAAUUAUUAAUAAAGUUUCUUAUGGGUUUUCAAAAUUCCAACUCAGUAUAGAUUAAUCUUCCUGGAGCACGGGAAGGAAAAAUGUAUUUAGAGGGGUGGUUUGGGAUAAAUCAGCAAGGACUGGAAAAGGCAUGCUGAGAAUUUAGGAUUUUCUGCUGGACUCAGGACUUUGUUCUUUGGCAAUGGAGAAAUCGGCUGCGUGGUUUUGAUCAGAGGACAAUGUGGAACAGCAAUAAAUGGAUCAAUAGACAAAUGUUAUGGCUACAUCAGAAGAUGAAAGAAUGAAUGUACAUUUAUAUGUUCAUAAGAUUCAUCUCUAGAUGAAUUAACCUCUAGAUGAACAUAGAAUUAUCACAAAAAUAACCCCACCUCCCAGAAUUUACCAUUCAAAAAAUGCACAAUGGAAUUCUCAAGGCAGAAGAUACUACUUUGAUCAAUGAAGAGACUCUGUAUUCGCUUCAAGAAAUCUUUCAAGUAACAGGGAAAAUAAUCUCAAUUCAAACUUUCUGAAUUCAUUUUAAGAAUGCUUAUCUAGUGUAAUUCCACAGAGAAAAAUCCUCCACAAGGGAUAGUUGCAAUCUAUAUUUUAUUUUAAAUAUUUUUUAUGAAUUUAUAAACAUUUGCCAUUAAUUAACUAUUCUUUGUAAUUUCCUUGCCUUUUGCUGUUACGAUAAACAUUCGUAUUUUUGUAGUAUGAAUAGGACCAGAACUCUAAUUUGUAACACUGUAUCUAUAGGACUUUGUCUAAAAACGUGUCUCAUAAUGACUUGACUUUUUAACAAUCAUACAAGAAGCAGUUAUGCUGUCAGAAGUGCCCUGUACCCAAAGAUAGAAAUGAAAAAGAGAACAGAGGAUAUUAAAAGAACUCUAAGAAAAUGCUCUGCACAUCUCUAUAAUAAUAAAAUCAGAAAGAAAUGAACAGUAGUCUAAGAAAAUAUAAAUUACCAAAAUUGGCCCUU